GUGCUCGCUUCGGCAGCACAUAUACUAAAAUUGGAAUGAUACAGAGAAGAUUAGCAUGGCCCCUGCACAAGGAUGACACACAAAUUCGUGAAGCGUUCCAUAUUAAA
ensembl:snRNA U6 U6 spliceosomal RNA